UACGUAGGGGGCAAGCGUUGUCCGGAUUUAUUGGGCGUAAAGAGCGUGUAGGCGGCUUUGCAAGUCCGUUGUGAAAACUCGAGGCUCAACCUCGAGACGCCGGUGGAACUGCAAAGCUAGAGUCCGGGAGAGGCGAGUGGAAUUCCGUGGUCGUAGCGGUGAAAUGCGCAGAGUAUCAGGAGGAACACCGAUGGCGAAGGCAGCUCGCUGGACGUGACUGACGCUGAGGCGCGAAAGCGUGGGGAGCAAACAGG
rnacentral:rRNA from 1 species